UUCAGCCACAAACCACAAUGCAACAGACUUGUAGCCAUAUCUUUUACACCUAUUUCCAUUUUCUCCAUUGGUAUGCUCAACGGAAGCUAUCCAGAAAAAAAAAAAAAAAAAAAAACCAGGGUGAAAAAUGAAGCUGAACCACAAGGAAGAUGCAAUGCAGCGGCUAUAAAAAAGGAUGUCUCCACCUCAGCCCUCCGGGAUGGCUGGCCAGACUGCACCUACACAGCCUGCUUCUUAAACGGCACAACCACAGAGAGGCACACAGCUCACAACCCGGCUGAAAACAAAACGACCCGGCACCCAGAUGCUCUCUUCCCCAGCACCCCGGGAUCUGAAGGCUGAGGAGCAGGUCUCCACCCCCUCCACACCCCUAGUCCCCACACAGGUGGAAUGGAAGCCGGCAAACAAGUCAUGCAGCUCUUGUGGAGUGCUCUUCAGAACCCUCCCGUGAUCCCGUGAUCCCCUCCUAAGUCAAACUGACAUCAGGAGGUCCCGGUGCGUCAGUACCCAGGGCUCUCAAGUGUUCCAAGAGCCAAUUUUAUUGAUUCUGAUAGGACUGAGACCAACAAAGGGCAGGAGUCGGGGCAGGAAUGUUCACAAGGGCAGAGUGGGAAAAAGGCAACAAUGAAGCUCUGGAUGGUGUGGGAAAGAGUAAAUGACCGGCUUCUGGAGACUGAUGUCACACUGCAAAGACAACGGUGGCUGACGGCUUCACGCGCUCUCAAACUCGUCCACUUUGGAGGGAUUCCACAAAGCCUGCUCUGGCCACUCCUAAACACACACCCUCCCUCUUCUCCUGCCCUUCUCCAGAGCACCUACAGUGAAACAAAGCAAAAUGGCUUAGAGUUGUACUUAAAUAUUAAAGUCUAUGAAUACAAAGUAA